rnacentral:rRNA from 1 species
UACGUAGGUGACCAGCGUUGUCCGGAUUUAUUGGGCGUAAAGCGCGUGUAGGCGGCCAGGUAGGUCCGCUGUGAAAACCCGAGGCUCAACCUCGGGACGUCGGCGGAAACCAUCUGGCUAGAGUCCGGAAGAGGAGAGUGGAAUUCCCGGUGUAGCGGUGAAAUGCGCAGAUAUCGGGAAGAACACCCGUGGCGAAGGCGGCUCUCUGGGACGGUACUGACGCUGAGACGCGAAAGCGUGGGGAGCGAACAGG